rnacentral:rRNA from 1 species
AUGUCGAGCUCCACUUUAGCCUCCCGCCCCUCGUGGACCCAGUAUGGUCCACUUCCCAUGGAGCGAUGUCCUAACUGCCCACGCAGCGCGCCACUUAUACGGUUGACUUCGAAGGAAGUCAAGAAUGGCAACUAUGGAUGCGAGUUCGUGAAAUGCGAGAGGUUCAUUUUUUCGAUUCAUAUCGUGAAGAAAUUCACACAUUUUGAAUGGUUGGAUGACUACGUUAAGCGGAUUCAAUUCAAUGGGGCCCCAACCCGGGAGCUCAAUCUGUCGUCAGCAACAACGAAUUUGGUCUCUGGAAGUGCUGCUCUGACAGUUGGGGAUGCAGAUCUGAAGGGGAAAAUAAAGAAUAUGAACAAGAACUUAAAGCAGAUGAUUCAAUUGAACAAGCAUGCGAAUCUGAUAACUUUAGGAUUGUAUCCCUUUUAUUUUUGUGUAGUUGCU